rnacentral:misc_RNA from 1 species
CAUUCAGGGAAGUGACGGGCUCAGUCGCCUUAUGACAAAACCACGAUCAGGACGCCGCGCUCUUGGGCGCGGCGUGCGGACGCUUCUCGACAUCAAGCCUUGGCGCAUUGGUCGCGAACUGCUCGUCCUGCGGCAUCGACGGCAGAACGCCGCUGGUCUUGGCCUGAUCGAUCACCUGCGCCAAAAGCCUGAGGCCGAGCGGCGCC